GUUGUCUACUUCCUUGUGCCCUCCGGAGUCGAGCUCUGUCAGUGCAUGAUUCUUGCCAAUCGCUAAACGUAGGACUCGAGGAAGGCCAUUGGCAAUUCUGCUAAGAAGACAGUGCAAGUGCCUAUAAAAACGACAGUUUAGGGGGAAAACAAACCAAUACCCGGAAAGCUGAGAGGCCAGCUUUUUAAUCGUCAUGGUUUUAUGUAAAAUAAAACAGCACGUGGAAGGUAUUGUAAGCGCUUGGUGGCUGCUCGAGCCCCCAGAAAGGUGCUUGGUUCUUCCACCUCUGCCACUAAUUCGACAUCAGUUUCAUCGAGGAAAGCUGAAAAUAAAUAUGCAGGAGGGAACCCCGUUUGCGUGCGCCCAACUCCCAAGUGGCAAAAAGGAAUUGGAGAAUUCUUUAGGUUGUCCCCUAAAGAUUCUGAAAAAGAGAAUCAGAUUCCUGAAGAGGCAGGAAGCAGUGGCUUAGGAAAAGCAAAGAGAAAAGCAUGUCCUUUGCAACCUGAUCACACAAAUGAUGAAAAAGAAUAGAACUUUCUCAUUCAUCUUUGAAUAACGUCUCCUUGUUUACCCUGGUAUUCUAGAAUGUAAAUUUACAUAAAUGUGUUUGUUCCAAUUAGCUUUGUUGAACAGGCAUUUAAUUAAAAAAUUUAGGUUUAAAUUUAGAUGUUCAAAAGUAGUUGUGAAAUUUGAGAAUUUGUAAGACUAAUUAUGGUAACUUAGCUUAGUAUUCAAUAUAAUGCAUUGUUUGGUUUCUUUUACCAAAUUAAGUGUCUAGUUCUUGCUAAAAUCAAGUCAUUGCAUUGUGUUCUAAUUACAAGUAUGUUGUAUUUGAGAUUUGCUUAGAUUGUUGUACUGCUGCCAUUUUUAUUGGUGUUUGAUUAUUGGAAUGGUGCCAUAUUGUCACUCCUUCUACUUGCUUUAAAAAGCAGAGUUAGAUUUUUGCACAUUAAAAAAUUCAGUAUUAAUUAAACAUUACUUAUUCUACCCUCUUUUUUGGCAAGGAGGACAAAUACGCAAUGUUGGAAAACCUUGGAUGGAUAUCUUCUCUUUAAAAAAAUGUAAAGAUAAUUUGGUCUUGAGGGUUUAAACGGUUGAUAAUGCCUCUACAACAACAAGAAAAAAGAUAAAAUACUAGGAUAGAAUCAUGGUGGGCACAGUGGCUUCUCAGGAGGCUGAGGAGGGAGGUUUGCUUGAGUCCAGGAGUUGGAGACCAGCCCAGGCAACAUAGCGUAAACCCUAUCUCUAAAACAAUUUUUAGCCGGGUGCGGUGGCUCACGCCUGUAAUCCCAGCACUCUGGGAGGCCGAGGCGGGUGGAUCAUGAGGUCAGGAGAUCGAGACCAUCCUGCCUAACAAGGUGAAACCCCGUCUCUACUAAAAAUACAAAAAAUUAGCCGGGCGCGGUGGCGGGCGCCUGUAGUCCCAGCUACUCGGGAGGCUGAGGCAGGAGAAUGGCGUGAACCCGGGAAGUGGAGCUUGCAGUGAGCCGAGAUUGCGCCACUGCAGUCGGCAGUCCGGCUUGGGCGACAGAGCGAGACUCCGUCUCAAAAAAAAAAAAAAAAAAAAUUUUAAAAAAGGCUGAGUGCAGUGGCUCACACCUGUAAUCCCAGCACUUUGGGAGGCCAAGGCAGGUGGAUCACCUGAGAUAGGAGUUCAAGACCAGCCUGGCCAGCAUGGUGAAACUGUCACUACUAAAAAUGAAAAAAUGAGCCAGGCAUGGUGGCACAUGCCUGUAAUCCCAGCUACUCAGGAGGCUGAGGCAGGAGAAUCGCUUGAACCUGGGAGGUGGAGGUUGCAGUGAGCCCAGAUUGUGCCACUGCACUCCAGCCUGAACAACAGAGUGAGACAAUGUCUUAAAAAAAAAAAAAGAAAGAAAAGAAAAAAAUAUAUAUUUAUAUAUGAACAAUAAAAAAUUAGCCUGGCAUGGUGGCACACACAGUGGAACCAGAUCCCAUCUCUUAAAAGAAAUUUUCCUAGGAUUUGCAUUUGAUUCGCUAUCAUAAAAUAUAAUUUUAAAGUUGGAAGUCAAUAUAACAUGAAAGGCAAAUCAUGCCAUAAACCCAUAGGCAUGGCAAAACUCCUAAGAGCUACUAUGACAUUUUUCAACAUAACCAGAGGUAUAAUUGAAGAAGUGGGUAUAAUAUUCCUCAUCACCCUUUUUGCAGCAGCCUGUUGUCAAAAGUAAUCAUAUUUUAGUAGGCAUAUUUUUCUGAAAUACGUUUGUAAUAAAUGCAUACUUAUUUUUACAAUACACUA